UAAGACAGGAGAGUGGAGGUUACCUGGAAAAACCCAAGCAAGGUCCUGCUACCAAAAGAAGGGUGAACGGACACAGGACAGUAGUACUCCGGGGAAUAUAUGCACCAUGGUUUGUUUAACCAUUCGCCUGUUGAAGGACAUCUCAGCUGUUCCCAGUUAUGGCUAUUACAAAUAAAGCUGCUAUGACCAUUGUGUACAGGUUUUUGGGAAGAUUAGCCCUGAGCUAACAUCCACUCCCAAUCCUCCUUUCUUGACUGAGGAAGACUGGCCCUGAGCUAACAUCCAUGCCCACCUUCCUCUACUUUAUAUGUGGGAUGCCUGCCACAGCAUGGCUUGCCAAGCAGUGCCAUGUCCACACCCGGGAUCCGAACUGUUGAACCCUGAGCCACUGAAGAGGAACGUAUGAACUUAACCACUGUGCCACGUGGCCGGCCCCUUCUUUGAUUUUUUUCAUCAGUGUUUUGUAGUUUUCAGCAUACAGACAUUGUACGUUUUGUUAAGUGUAUACCUAAGUGCUUCACUUUCUUUAGAGAAUUAUAAACGGUUUUGCAUUUUUAA
ensembl:lncRNA